rnacentral:rRNA from 1 species
GGAAUAUUGGACAAUGGGCGAAAGCCUGAUCCAGCCACGCCGCGUGAGUGAUGAAGGCCCUCGGGUCGUAAAGCUCUGUGGGGAGGGACGAAAGAGCCUGGGUGAAUAGCCCAGGCAGUGACGGUACCUCCUUAGCAAGCACCGGCUAACUCCGUGCCAGCAGCCGCGGUAAUACGGAGGGUGCAACCGUUGCCCGGAAUCAUUGGGCGUAAAGCGCACGUAGGCGGCUUUGUAAGUCGGAUGUGAAAGCCCUCGGCUCAACCGAGGAAGAGCAUUCGAAACUGCGAGACUUGAGUACGGGAGGGGGCUGCGGAAUUCCCGGUGUAGAGGUGAAAUUCGUAGAUAUCGGGAGGAACACCAGUGGCGAAGGCGGCAGCCUGGACCGAUACUGACGCUGAGGUGCGAAAGCGUGGGGAGCAAAC